rnacentral:rRNA from 1 species
GAUGAACGCUGGCGGCGUGCCUAAUACAUGCCAGUCGAGCGAACAGACGAGGAGCUUGCUCCUCUGACGUUAGCGGCGGACGGGUGAGUAACACGUGGAUAACCUACCUAUAAGACUGGGAUAACUUCGGGAAACCGGAGCUAAUACCGGAUAAUAUAUUGAACCGCAUGGUUCAAUAGUGAAAGACGGUUUUGCUGUCACUUAUAGAUGGAUCCGCGCCGCAUUAGCUAGUUGGUAAGGUAACGGCUUACCAAGGCAACGAUGCGUAGCCGACCUGAGAGGGUGAUCGGCCACACUGGAACUGAGACACGGUCCAGACUCCUACGGGAGGCAACAGUAGGGAAUCUUCCGCAAUGGGCGAAAGCCUGACGGAGCAACGCCGCGUGAGUGAUGAAGGUCUUCGGAUCGUAAAACUCUGUUAUUAGGGAAGAACAAAUGUGUAAGUAACUAUGCACGUCUUGACGGUACCUAAUCAGAAAGCCACGGCUAACUACGUG